rnacentral:rRNA from 1 species
GAGUUGAUCCUGGCUCAGGAUGAACGCUAGCGGCAGGCUUAACACAUGCAAGUCGAGGGGUAACAGGGAGUGCUUGCACUCUGCUGACGACCGGCGCACGGGUGCGUAACGCGUAUGCAACCUACCUUCUACAGGGGGAUAGUCCAGAGAAAUUUGGCAUAAUACCCCAUACGAUCAUUUAUUGGCAUCGAUAGAUGAGGAAAACUCCGGUGGUAGAAGAUGGGCAUGCGUCCUAUUAGUUAGUUGGUAAGGUAACGGCUUACCAAGACAUCGAUAGGUAGGGGUCCUGAGAGGGAGAUCCCCCACACUGGUACUGAGACACGGACCAGACUCCUACGGGAGGCAGCAGUGAGGAAUAUUGGACAAUGGAGGCAACUCUGAUCCAGCCAUGCCGCGUGCAGGAAGACGGCCCUACGGGUUGUAAACUGCUUUUAUACAGGAAGAAACGCCGCUACGUGUAGCGGUUGACGGUACUGU